rnacentral:lncRNA from 1 species
UUGUCUUGUUUAUUACUAGUAUACUAGUAUAUUAUUAUUAUUGCAUGGCCGGUCGGCCUUCAUACGUAACGUACAUAUUUACCCAUGCCGACUUUCUUUGACUUUUCUUGUAGAGUAGCUUUCUUGACUUAAGCCCAUCCAUUCAUGCACGUAACAAAUGUGCUGAUGCCCGCCGUGCUAAACCACAACACCUAGUAUCCAACACAAAACCCCAAUUAGCAUGCAUCAAAACAGAAUUCAGAACAAAAACAUCAUCUCCCAAUCAUGCAUGCGACUGAUCGGCAUAACCAUGAUAGCAAAAUGACAUCUGGUACAUAUGCAACCAAUUACCAGCGCAAGUGCCAGGAUUCCCAUCUCCUGUGAGCCAUUCCUUUUGUUCCCGCAAAUCAGAUCCCCGGCCAAACCAUGCCGUCAGAUCACCUCGCCAAAUCAGUCACGGAGAAAGCAACAUCAGUGGCCCAGAGAUCGCCAUGGGAGCCUGGCGCGCGGUCCUCCGUCCUACGCUGCUGCGAUGCAUGCACAUGCGAUCUCAUCCUUUCCUCCCCAGCUUUGCGCAACAACACGAAAAUUCAAAAGGUGAGCGAGCGAAACGAUUGAAUGGUGCCUGUCAGCGAGCAUAGGCCACCAACGGUGGAUUCACCACCACUGCCCCCAUGACGGAGCUGGAGAUAUUCUUGCUCUCA